rnacentral:rRNA from 1 species
UCUAAGAUAAGAUAUCCCAUAGCAUAAGCUAGUAAGACCCCUCAAAGACUAUGAGGUUGAUAGGUUGCGUGUGUAAGCAUGGUGACAUGUUCAGCUAAGCAAUACUAAUAGGUCGAGGGCUUGACCAC